GCUGAAGAACGUAGCGAAAUGCGAUAAGUAAUGUGAAUUGCAGAAUUCAGUGAAUCAUCGAAUCUUUGAACGCACAUUGCGCCCCCUGGUAUUCCGGGGGGCAUGCCUGUUCGAGCGUCAUUUCACCACUCAAGCCUCGCUUGGUAUUGGGCAACGCGGUCCGCCGCGUGCCUCAAAUCGACCGGCUGGGUCUUCUGUCCCCUAAGCGUUGUGGAAACUAUUCGCUAAAGGGUGUUCGGGAGGCUACGCCGUAAAACAACCCCAUUUCUAAGGUUGACCUCGGAUCAGGUAGGGAUACCCGCUGAACUUAAGCAUAUCAAUAAGCGGAGGA
rnacentral:misc_RNA from 1 species